UUUUUUUUUUUUUUUUUUUUUUUUGGACAAUGGAUUAAUUUGCAUAUAUUGAAAGAGUUUUAAGUUAAAACAACAAGAACUAGGCUUAUUAAGACUAGAAUUAGUGUUAUAUACUUGGGUGUAUGAUACAGCCAGGGUUAUUAUUGUCAUUUCACGCGUUUUUUCUUGUACACGUGAUACCUGGGUUCACGCUUUACUCGUGUUUCUGUUCUUUUUCUUUAUUUUCUCUCUCUUCCUUCUCUCUUUCUGUUCUUCAAUUUCCAGAAUUUCGUUUCCUGUCUUCAAUUUCUUUAUCUACAUUUCCAGAUUAUGCUUAGAAUUGCGUCAAGUUGCUACAAUGGAGGAAUCUAGAUAAUGUCAGUACAAAUAAAAGACAAGCAAUUACUGAGGUCCACCAAUAUGGAAUCUGCUUAUCAUCUCUGUUAGCUUGCGCACCCUCUUUUAAAAAAUUCUGGAGCUCGAAGCAUUAUCAUCAUAUCAUCUGUUGCAGGGGUUACAUCUAUAGGUACUGUUAAUGUUUAUGCGGCUACUAAAGGUGCGUUGCUGCUAUAACAGGCAUGAAUGUACAUUAUUUUUGCUCUUUUACUGUAAUUAGGCUCAAAUGAGCAACUAUGUCAAGAUUGUUAUUUGCUUAACUUUCAAAAAAAUUUGCUCAUUUGUUUGAUGAGCAAAUAUAUUUUGCUCAUGUAUUGAUUAAUUGAGUGCAUCAAGUAUGCGAAACUCAUAUUUGUGCUGCAAAAGAUGGUCCAUUGAGUCCACUAGAUUGCUAA